UCUCCGUGAAGCACAAAACGGACCUUAUUCAGACAGAGGGCAUCAAAAACUGGGAAGACAGCAGAUGCUCUAGUUGAAAUUUUAAAAAUCCACGAUGAACAGGAAAUCCAUGACAUCCACACCAAGCGCACUACUGUUCUCCACGCCCUUCCUGUGUAUCUGUGCGAGGAUGCUUCUGGAUUUUUCAGAACCUGCACAGACAAGUCUGAUGAGCCAGAGCUUGACAGUGUUGCAGUGGGCCUCCUUACUAUCAUCAGUGACCAUGACACAAGUCCAGUUCACUACAACCCUGUGAGAAUCUCUGUCAUCGUUGAAAGUGAUGCCAUGAUCAGCCUCCCCCGACUUGGCGAUGCCUUCCUGGUAAUCUUGCACAAAAAUCUAUGCACUACACCUCAGCUACCCCAAAGCACUGACCAACACUUUUGAAUUCACUGAAAAGAUUCUACUUGGUCUAGAAAGUGGUAAACUGUCACCCAAGUUGCAGACCCCCAGGAAUGACUUGAUCAGAAGUCAAGUUGAGCAGAAACUCAUCUGAAAGAAGGCUGCAGGGAAAGCUUUAUAAAAGGCUAGUUCAAAGGUUAAGGGGAAAUGUUCUAUAGAGUUUUUGUAAUUUCAUCCAAAUUGCUGCCCUGUUGCCUUAUGCAUGCAUUUUGCAUGUAAUCUUGUCGCGCAAAUAAUUUGCGUCACGUUUGGUGUGACCACGGUGUGUGUUGCUUUUCUGCCAACUCAGCUGCAAGAAUAAUACUCCUGUAAACCUGCUGCUUGUAAAACACUCUCAAA